AAUAAACAGAGUCAUGAGUUUUUAUAUCCAAUUUUGAUCAUCUGUUUUAUUUCUUUUUUUUAGAUUAAUAUUUUUAUUUUUAUUAGAUUAUAAAAUAUGAAUAGUACUUUAUAUGUGACUUUAUAUGUUAAGUCUUUUUUUAAAAAAAUUAAAUAAGACGAACGAUUAAAGUUGGACACGAAAACUCAUGGCAACAAUCAUU
rfam:Oryza nivara chromosome 2, whole genome shotgun sequence.